UGUGUUUGGGCAGGUGUUUUCACAG
rnacentral:piRNA from 1 species